rnacentral:lncRNA from 1 species
CAAGCACAUCGCUGAAAUAUUUACAUUUGAUUUGGUCACCAAACUUGCUUGGCAACCUCUAAUGGAGUUUGUUGAUCAAUAAAAAAAAACGAAAACCUGAGAUGGGUGGAGGGCGUCAGCGGACGGCCGAGGCGACGGUGUGCGCCCACAUCCGGAGGUGCUCCUUGAGGUCGUUGCCGUUGCCGGGCGGCGGGAUCCGCCAGUUCCGCAGCGCCCUCCUGACCUCUUCCUCCUCGUCGUCCCAAGCCUCCGAGAGGUACGGCCUCCUCGGUGCCGGGGCGGCGGCGGUGGCUUCCUCCUCCCGCAGGGCGGAGGACGACGCGGCGGCCCGCGGCGCCGCGGGAGCCGACGCGGUGGCCCUGCUGUUCUCCUCCUCGGAGCGCUUUCGGCGCAGGCCCGGAACGAUGGACGCGAGCUCGGCGUCCACCUCGGCGUCGGAGAAGGUGAAGCCGAGGUCCUGCAAGCCCUUGACCUCCUCGAACUCGAGCUCCGACAUGCUCCGCCCGCGCCGCCGCCGCCGCCUCCCGGGC